CCUACGGGUGGCUGCAGUGGGGAAUCUUGCACAAUGGGGGAAACCCUGAUGCAGCGACGCCGCGUGGGUGAUGAAGUCCUUCGGGAUGUAAAGCCCUUUCGACGGGAACGAUAAUGACGGUACCCGGAGAAGAAGCUGCGGCUAACUACGUGCCAGCAGCCGCGGUAAUACGUAGGCAGCAAGCGUUGUUCGGAAUUACUGGGCGUAAAGAGUAUGUAGGCGGUUGGGCAAGUCCGUUGUGAAAUCUCCCGGCUUAACUGGGAGGGUGCGGCGGA
rnacentral:rRNA from 1 species